UACAGAGGGUGCAAGCGUUGUUCGGAAUUACUGGGCGUAAAGCGCGUGUAGGCGGCUCGAUAAGUCCGCUGUGAAAGCCCGGGGCUCAACCCCGGGAUGCCGGUGGAUACUGUCGGGCUUGAGUACGGAAGAGGCGAGUGGAAUUCCUGGUGUAGCGGUGAAAUGCGCAGAUAUCAGGAGGAACACCAAUUGCGAAGGCAGCUCGCUGGGACGUUACUGACGCUGAGACGCGAAAGCGUGGGGAGCAAACAGG
rnacentral:rRNA from 1 species